rnacentral:rRNA from 1 species
CCUAGGGGAGGCAGCAGUGAGGGAUAUUGGUCAAUGGGGGAAACCCUGAACCAGCAACGCCGCGUGAGGGAAGACGGUUUUCGGAUUGUAAACCUCUGUCCUCUGUGCAGAUAAUGACGGUCGCAGAGGAGGCAGCUCCGGCUAACUACGUGCCAGCAGCCGCGGUAAUACGGAGGGAGCAAGCGUUGUACGGAUUUACUGGUUGUAAAGGGUGCGUAGGCGGCUUUGCAAGUCAGAAGUGAAAUCCAUGGGCUUAACCCAUGAACUGCUUUUGAAACUGCAGAGCGUGAGUGGAGUAGAGGUAGGCGGAAUGCCCGGUGUAGCGGGGAAAUGCGUAGAGAUCGGGAGGAACACCAGUGGCGAAGGCGGCCUACUGGGCUCUAACUGACGCUGAGGCACGAAAGCGUGGGUAGCAAACAGGAUUAGAUACCCCUGUAGUC